rnacentral:lncRNA from 1 species
GCACUUAUAGCCAAUCAGAGGCGAAGGAGAGCGGCACCUUCCCUUACCAACCUACAGCGUCCCGGGUUGAAGCGAGAAGACAAAAAUGGAGUCUACUUCAACUUCAAGUGAUGGCUAAUUGGUACUCGUUUUGCUUUCUCAAAUGAAAAAGAAAUGUAGCACAUGAGUGCAUCUAAUAUUACAAAAAAGAAGAGAACUUGGUGAGUUUCACUGCUUGGUUCAGGAGAUGAAACUGUAGCACAGUCGCUGACUGUUUUCAGUUCUGAUUUGACACUAGUGUUGAGGUGGCUUUCUGUCAUGAUCGCAUGUACUGAGUCGGGGCCAGUACCAGAUAAGCACAUGAAACUAUGGUAACAACCGUUAGCUUACGUUACCACAGAUGAAAGUUAAAACAAAAACGUUUAGCAAACUGUUAAAGCACACAAACCAUCGUCAUAUGAGAAAUCCAACGCUGUGACUCUCCACAAGUUGUCUUCAGGUUGUUAUCUUUGUAAUGUUUGUGUCUUUUAUCAAAAAGCACUCUGUUCUCCGACAUGUAAACAAUCAGCCGGUCGGCCAUGUUGGAUAUACCGGUGAAUCUGACGUCGCAACAACACUUUCGCAUUCAACAAGUCAUCUAAAUAAUGACACGUUGAGCUUUCCAUACUUUCUGACAGAGAGGUGGAGUCUUGUGCCCGCGGGCUGACACAAACCAAUCCACACAUGAUCACGAGCUGUGAUUGACAUAGACAACCUGUGUGCUACCUUUUAGCAGAGACUACCUGGAGCUGGUAAAACGUAACUGCAGAAACAGAAACACAGAGUAAGCUGUUGUACCAACCAGUCUGUGAUUUGCGGUCCUGUUGCUGCAGUGAAGCGAUCACUGCAGUGCUGGAAUGAGAGGUGAGGACAUACAGGGUUGAAAUGUGAAGGUAGUGUGGGGAAAACUGUGGCCUAGUGACACAAAUGAUCACCUUUUGAUUUUAACGUUAUGGAUUAGCUUAGAAUUCAGACUCAGACUGCAACUUAACAUGACUAUUUUAGUUUUGUUUGCUUUUUGAUUCGUUAGAGUCCAUAUAAGUAUAGUCGUAGAGGCCAUAUAGUCUUGCAAUUCUGGUGUGGUAACUUUGGGUUUGAGUGAAAAACAAAAAACAAGUUUUCCAGAAAAAUGUAUUAAGAACAGGUGUAAUCUAUGAAAUAACAUAUUAUUUAAACAAAAUCAUCAUUAUUGGGGUUGAAACAUACCUUUGUCACACAAACACAGCUUUCCAAAAGUAGCUGGAUUUGCCUCACGACUUAACCUGGUGCACAGCCAUAUUGGAAGUAAGGUCACUGGUACACCAGUAGAGGCACAGUCACAUGACUGCACCAGGAUGUAAAGUAGAUGUCACUUAGGGACUUUAUGUGUAAAAAAUACAGAUUUAAGCAAUUUGAAGACCUGCCCUUGAUGUUUGAAAGGGGUCCUUAUGGGUAAAUUUAUACUAAAAUGUUCCCAAAAAUUAAAAACGCAACUUACUGUGUUUCCCCCCAUUUUAUAAUGAUAAAACACUAUAGUUCUACUUAAAUCUCAUUGUGUUUUGAGUUGGAAUAACCUCUUUUGAAUUGGGCUUUCAUACCGAGAAUUAAGUUUUUCUGAAUUGCACAGAGAUUUUGGGAAAGUCCUUGAUCCUGCGGCUAAAAGCUAUGCCAUCAUGAUCCUAAAUGAUAGUGAGUCUGCAUCAAAAGUGGCUCCUCUGAGGUUUAUCAUAAGCUUUACUGUUGGAUCCUUAUAAAUAUUUCAUUAUUCAUUGCACAGAGUCGAAGCUUUUAAAGAUCACAGAUACAUCAAACAUCCGGAGAUACAGCAAAGCAGCCUCAAGGUUUAACAUCCCUUUACAAUACUGUGAUUCGAUCAUUUUUGUUUUUAGCAUUACAACACUUAUUUGUUUUUUUGCAGGUUAUAAAAACAAAGAGUGAGUGAGCUGAAUGCUGAGGACGUGCUGAGAGGAACAGUUGGUGGAAUCAUGAUUCAUCCAUUCUGCUGGGGCUCCUCCUUAUACGUCAGUGCUGGACCAACCAUCUGUCUGCACCGCCUGCCACGCUGGGGGCCCUUUCAUAUUUUGAAAACAUGACACAGCACUCCACAUGUCAACGAUAGAAAAAUUCACUACAUUGGAAUUUACUGAGGAGCGAUGUAACACCCUCUGUUGAAAAGUGAUUGACAGGCAGAAGUGUAAAACAAGUAGAGCCAGAGUUUUCGAGCUAUUGUUUGACUGACAAAUGUUAAAAAUAGCACUACCACACAGCCUGGUACAAAUCCACUUGGUACUAGAAUGUUAGCUGUUGUAAUGUCUUAUUUGGCCAUUACCACUUAUUGGCCAGUGGUUUUUGCCAAUGCUAAUGUUGGACCAUGCUAUGAUUCAACCUACUCCUAAAUAAUACAAAGGUGUGAACCAGUGGAGGCAGGUGGGAAAUAUUUUUUGUGGGGCUGAGGUAAACACAUUUCUCUGCCUUGUCCAUCAUAAGAAUUCAAAUCAACAGUCAGGCGACCUCAAUUCAGCAAUAAUGAUUUAAUCUCCUUUAAAUUUGCCAGUUUCAUAAAUCAAGUCAAGAACAAUUUUCAGUUGUAUACACUUCCAUUCAUGCUCUAGAAAUGAAGGAUAAUAUAGUUUUCUAGUUCCUGAGAGACCUUACAGCAAGAUUUUCAGAAAAGUGCAUUUACUGUUCCACAUCCUGUCAGCCAUGACUUGCGCUUGAACCAACUCCUGCAAAAACUCCUGUUGUAGGAUUAAUUCUUCUCCUUGGGCUUGUCCGGUCCAAGCACUUUAAUCCAGAUUUUCUCCUCCUUUGUACGUCUAGCAAACGGAUAGACCAAUAAUGAUUGCACUGAAUUUGGUGGAAGCUGCUCCUCGCUCAUUAAGUUUGCCAUCACCGUAACAACUGCGCUAGCUUAAUUGGGUGCACGCACAGGCUCUCUCCCUCCUUUGCCCACCUCUAAAAAUCUCACGACACUUUUGGCCUCAUGGGCGAUAUUUUCAGCACCUCAAGACCAUAAAUUUCUGCUGUGCUGAUUGGUCAUAUAUUUAUUAAUUUUACCUGGCAACUGUACACAAUUGGUUAUUUCGUCGCAGUGUUGGGGCGAUCUGACAGAGCGCCCCGUGAAAGAAUCAAUACGAGUCUGCCAGUGGAAAUUCCAUAUUAAAUGAAUGAUAGCAGAUGGGAAAUGUAGUUUAAAUGAUUAGUAUUGCAAGUGGCCCCACAAUAGUUGGUAAAAACAUCUUUAUUGUAAAAAUAUAUUUUUAGAUACAUUUUUCAGGAAGGGCGGCCACCACUGGUGUGAACUAUUCGGCUACACCUUUUUGUAAAGUAACAUGUUACACCACUUAUAUUAAUAGUAGCUUUUAGCCACUUUCUGUCAGAUGUUUAUAAUGUAAUUGGCAAGUGUCUGAUGCCAAAGUAGCUGCUGUCUGACAAUGCUGGCUUUAAAACUCAAACAUUUCCUUGGCAACUGUGCCUUAACUAACAUCGUGACUAACUGAAUAAUGUUCUGUUCACAAUAUGGAGAGUCUGAAUGAUGGAAAACAUUUGAAUAAAAUGAUUAACAUAACAAUAA